rnacentral:rRNA from 1 species
AUACGGAGGGUGCAAGCGUUAUCCGGAUUCAUUGGGUUUAAAGGGUGCGCAGGCGGAUACUUAAGUCAGUGGUGAAAUCCCGGGGCUCAACCUCGGAACUGCCAUUGAUACUGAAUAUCUGGAAUACGGUUGAAGUGGGCGGAAUGUAGCAUGUAGCGGUGAAAUGCAUAGAGAUGCUACAGAACACCGAUCGCGAAGGCAGCUCACUAAGCCGAUAUUGACGCUCAGGCACGAAAGCGUGGGGAGCGAACAGGAUUAGAAACCCCUGUAGUCC